rnacentral:rRNA from 1 species
AUCAAAAACAUAGUCGGCAGAUGAACUAAAUUUUUAUUGUCGAUAUCUUCUGCCCGGUGUUUAUAUAAACGGCCGCAGUACCUUGACUGUGCUAAGGUAGCAUAAUCAAUUGGCUAUUAAUUGUAGUCUAGUAUGAAUGAAGUAAUGAAUAGUAGCUAUAAUAAAAAAUAUUAUUUUAAUUUAAUGAACUGGUGAAAAUACCAGUAUAUAGAAAAAAGACGAGAAGACCCUUAGAGUUUUUGAAAUAAAGAUUGUUUAAGACUUUAAUUUAGACUACUCUUAAAGUAAUUAUACAAUACACUUUUUUGUUGGGGCGACAAGAAAGCAAUAUAACCUUUCUAUUGGCACUAAAAGUGGUAUUAGAUCUGACGAUAUUAUUAUGAAUGACUAAACUACCUGAGGGAUAACAGCAUAAUGAUAAAUAUUAGUUUGUGACCUCGAUGUUGGACUAGGGACUUGUACACUAACCGUGAUAAAAGCUUGUUCUGUUCGAACAAUAAACCCCUACGUGAUCUGA